GAUGCAAUCCACGAAAGCCGCGCCCUUUACGGCCCUCGUCUCUCUGCGCCGGUGUUUUGCAGGCGCUGCGCCGCGCCGUGCAGGCACCGCAUUCGACAAAGUCACCCACACACGAUAAUACAGUGCCGACGCUGCUCACAUCAGCGGCGUUCUAUCACGAAACUCUGCGCGCACACACUCCGAAUGCACCGCGUCGCGCUACCCAGGGUCGUGCGUUGUGCGCGUCGCCCCGCCGCAUCAGCGCCCCUCACAACCUCUUCAGAUGCGUCCCUCCGCUGGUGCUCCUCACCACCUCCUUCUCUAUCACCGUCGACCACCCCUGGCAAGGUGAAGGUUCACAUCAAGAGCGAGACAGAGGGGACGAAGAAGACGGUUGAGGCUGCACUGGGGCUCACCUUGAUGGAGGUGAUCCGCGAUGUGGCCAAAAUGGACAUGGAAGCGGCGUGCGACGGGACGUGCGCGUGCAGCACCUGCCAUGUCAUCUUCACGGCGGCGUCCUACCAGAAGCUCCUCGACGCCCCAAGUGAGGACGAGAUGGACAUGCUGGACCUGGCUCCGAAGGUCACCAAGACGUCGAGGCUGUCGUGCCAGGUAAAGAUCGCGCCGGAGCUGGACGACAUAUCCGUGACGAUACCCAACGAGAUGGAGAACCAAAUGGGGUACUGAAGCCCCUUUUCCGGUGACAGACGGGACUCGUGUGUGUGUGUGUGGUCGCGUGCCCCUUCGGCCUUCGCGCAUUUACUUAUUCACAUGUGGUGCUGAGCUCUGUGGGAAAGGAAAGAGAAGCUGGUUGCAGUGAAUAAUAGGUGCGCCUUCCCACAUGCAGGC
rnacentral:misc_RNA from 1 species